AUUGAACGCUGGCGGCAGGCCUAACACAUGCAAGUCGAGCGGAUGAAGGGAGCUUGCUCCUGGAUUCAGCGGCGGACGGGUGAGUAAUGCCUAGGAAUCUGCCUUGUAGUGGGGGAUAACGUCCGGAAACGGGCGCUAAUACCGCAUACGUCCUGAGGGAGAAAGUGGGGGAUCUUCGGACCUCACGCUAUCAGAUGAGCCUAGGUCGGAUUAGCUAGUUGGUGGGGUAAAGGCCUACCAAGGCGACGAUCCGUAACUGGUCUGAGAGGAUGAUCAGUCACACUGGAACUGAGACACGGUCCAGACUCCUACGGGAGGCAGCAGUGGGGAAUAUUGGACAAUGGGCGAAAGUCUGAUCCAGCCAUGCCGCGUGUGUGAAGAAGGUCUUCGGAUUGUAAAGCACUUUAAGUUGGGAGGAAGGGCAGUAAGUUAAUACCUUGCUGUUUUGACGUUACCAACAGAAUAAGCAACGGCUAACUUCGUG
rnacentral:rRNA from 1 species